AAAACAAAGAAAUAACGUCGACCUUUAUUCGAAUAAAUACGGCUGUCUUGAAGGACUCUUCAGCAGACUAAACUUGGCGUCGUUUCUUGGUGUCCUUUACAGUUGUUGUAGACGACGAAUCCGUUUCAGUGUACGUUUGACGCUUACCCUUGCGGCUACAAUAACCUUUUUUGUCACAUUACGAGUACGUCAAGCUAAACCUCGCAUGUUACGGCUGGCUCUCACCAGGCGCGGUGGACGCAUUGGACGAGUCCGUCGGCCGCAUCGUCGAGGCCCUGCACAGACGUUGCAUGCUCGGCAACAGCGUCAUCGUGUUCACCAGCGACAACGGGGCCAAGCCGUGGGGAACGUUCUCGAACGCUGGCUCCAACUGGCCGCUGCGGGGUGUCAAGGACAUGCUGUGGGAAGGCGGAAUCCGUCUGCCGGCGCUGGUGUGCUCCAGCCUGGUUCCCGCAUGGUCAUUCCCCGAUCCGUGCGCUUGGUCGACUGGCUGCCCACUCUGUUCUCGGCUGCCGAUUUCGACCUCGGCAAGGGCGAUGCGUGGCGCAAAAGAUGACCAUAGAUUCCUUGCGUUGAGGCGCUGCAUUCCAUGCCAUGCCUCUGUCUGUUCUUUGGGGUGGUUCAGAUUAAAGCCUAAUGUCUAAGUUGGAGGCGGGCUGUCUUCAGUUCAAAAUUUUCCUACGAUGAAGUAAUCUCUUGUCGAAUGACAAACAUGUACUGACACACCAUACAGAUAGAUAUUUAGCCUUCAUACUUGCCGUCUCUCUACGCUGCAACCACGAGCGAUUCUCUAUACGAACGUGUGGUUGGGAACAAAUAAACAUAACAGACGAAGUAAUGCUCCUCCACAAUUUUCUAAACGUUUAAUACAGACGGUUAGUGCAGAGGCUAAAGGAUGAUAAAAAUAAGAAAAUGAGAAGGAAGCGUAUUGGUCCAAUAACUCAAAUGAAGGUCGUGUCUAUCAUUGGGAACCUCGAUGGGCUUCGUAUGACCGAAAGAGGAAGAGGAGGGGCGGGACCCCGGCGACGAUGCCGUAGGGUAUAGGGGGGCGUCACUUGUCCCCUAACGGGUGACUCGUCCCCUGAUAAGAAACUUAUGGUCACUUGUCCCUUUAUCUCGGUAAGGAUAAGGCCGCAUAUGGCUUCCAGGACACACGACAGUGUGUCUGACAGUGUGCCAAUGAGGAACGCGGCAGCGUGAAUGCGCGUGUACCUGUGAACUGAAAGCACACCGUCGAGAGCCAUAGCAUGCCUGGCAGCCUCUACAGCAGUGUGACGUUUCCAAUGGGUGGACAGUGAGGCUGGUUUCGGUAUUGGCAAAAAAAAAAAAGCGUCGCCUUGACACUGAUAGCCAAAAGAAGAUUCAACUUUUGCAUAUGUCGCUCUGUCUUUUCAACCUACAUAGCAAUAAAGUAAAGUGUACAAUUAUAUGUAGAAAUAAAAUGUGCAUUUGGCUAUUUUCUUUUUCAGCGUCACAUAUAUUCGUUUACUCGGUUAUUAGUUGCGCCAAUGGGCGGCGCUCUCGCUGUUAUCGCUUCAGCUUCGGCUAUGGCUUCGGCUGCCAGUCUAUUCUUCUGCUCCUGCCGCUUUGUUUGCACGUGCACGUUUUUUUUUCUUUUUUUCAUGUGCUCCGCACUUAACAACUUGCUUUCUGUGCCCCUGAACGUUCCGGCAAUGUCGGAAAAACUGAGGAAAUGGCACAAAAGCGUGCUGCGCCGCUGUGUGAUGCGGCGUCUCUGGGAGGAACAGCAGGGUGAAACUUUUCCGUUUUCCAGCGGACGAGAGCUCUCCCUUCAACGAGGUACUAGGUGCAAUGACCAAGCAGCAGGCCGGUGAGGUUCACGACAAUGCGGGAGACAUGCUUGAGCAGGAG